AGACAUGCAUUGAUACACUUAAUAUUUAAACAUGCUCUGAUACCAAAAUUAAAUAAUCAAAUGAGAAUGAGCAAAUUUUCAAGAUAUUAAGAAAAUUGAAAAAUAAGCAAAUGAGAUAUUUUCAAACACGCAAUUUUCAAAUCCUAAGGUAAAUUCUGCUUUGCUCUGAUAACAAAAAUAAAUUUUCUGCUCUGAUACCAAAAUCACAUAAUCAAAUGAGCAAAAUUUUAAAUUAUUAAGCAAUAGGCAAAUUAUUUAUGCAAAUGGA
rnacentral:lncRNA from 1 species